rnacentral:rRNA from 1 species
CUGGCGGCAGGCUUAACACAUGCAAGUCGAGCGGGCGUAGCAAUACGUCAGCGGCAGWCGGGUGAGUAACGCGUGGGAACAUACCUUUUGGUUCGGAACAACACAGGGAAACUUGUGCUAAUACCGGAUAAGCCCUUACGGGGAAAGAUUUAUCGCCGAAAGAUUGGCCCGCGUCUGAUUAGCUAGUUGGUGAGGUAAUGGCUCACCAAGGCGACGAUCAGUAGCUGGUCUGAGAGGAUGAUCAGCCACAUUGGGACUGAGACACGGCCCAAACUCCUACGGGAGGCAGCAGUGGGGAAUAUUGGACAAUGGGCGCAAGCCUGAUCCAGCCAUGCCGCGUGAGUGAUGAAGGCCCUAGGGUUGUAAAGCUCUUUUGUGCGGGAAGAUAAUGACGGUACCGCAAGAAUAAGCCCCGGCUAACUUCGUGCCAGCAGCCGCGGUAAUACGAAGGGGGCUAGCGUUGCUCGGAAUCACUGGGCGUAAAGGGUGCGUAGGCGGGUCUUUAAGUCAGGGGUGAAAUCCUGGAGCUCAACUCCAGAACUGCCUUUGAUACUGAAGAUCUUGAGUUCGGGAGAGGUGAGUGGAACUGCGAGUGUAGAGGUGAAAUUCGUAGAUAUUCGCAAGAAC